CUGUGGGUGGAGCCUUGAUCUAGAGAGGAACUGGGUCUUGGGUCCAUCCGGUCUCCGGUGCCUGGGUCCGUAGAGUUCUGGUGAGACUAGAUCUGGCCAUACUGCUACGUUAUCUCUUUCAUCUCUUAGCACGCAUUUUUGUUCUGCUUUUUCAGCUGCUGGUGCAGUUGUUUCUAGAUCCAGUCAGCAACCCACUAUGCCUCUCCCUGUUGCGCUGCAGACCCGCUUGGCAAAGAGGGGCAUCCUCAAACAUCUGGAGCCAGAGCCAGAGGAAGAGAUUAUUGCUGAGGAUUACGAUG
rnacentral:lncRNA from 1 species